CAGAUUCCUAUAACAUUGAAAUUAAAUUGAAAGAACCAACAUCAAAAUGAAUAUCAAAAUUAAAAUAAUCCAAAAACAAUAAAACUGUAAUAGGGAUAUCUCCCUAGGGAUCCAUAGGGAUCCCUUACCCUCAACGUCAUGGCAGAACGACGUUCAAUGUCACUGCAGAUCUCCGUUGACGCUAAGGCACAUCGGCAGCUCAAUAGACAGAUAUGGAAGUCCUUGCGACAUGAUGUUCGCAACUUUAAUACAAAUAGUAUUAAAGAGGCGAUAGAGCGGAACCAAGGCUCGAAAGUGUUCGCUAGAGACAACUCUAUUGGGCGAAGCUAGCUGACGAAGCUGAAGACUGCGGAAGGUAGUGUAACGCCAACAAAAGCCGAGGUUCUGGGUGAGAUUGAAAAGUUUUAUGGACAGCUAUAUACCUCGACGAAGAUAUUGUGGAUAUCAGCAUUAUCAGCCUAUACGAGAUUAGGAUGGCUCUCAAACACCUAAAGAACAACAAAGCACUGGGUCAUGACGGGAUAACCUCGGUCCUUCAGAGACUAUUUAACUUCGUCUUACUCCAGGGAACAACGCCAGAGGCAUGGAACAGAAGCGUGGUGGUACUCUUCUUCAAGAAAGGGGAUAAAACCUUGCUGAAGAAUUACUGACCCAUCUCGCUUCUGAGUCAUGUCUACAAGCUGUUUGCGAAAGUUAUCACGAAUGAUCUCGCGCGUAGGUUCGAUGACUUCUAGCCUCCCGAACAAGCCGGUUUCUGAAAAGUGUCGGUACAUAUCGAGGUGCAGAAGUGCUUGUACAGAAACGCCACCAUGUUGGUCCGAGUACAGGAGUGGAGUACGAGGGCGAUUCCUCUGCAGCGAGGCAUGAGGGAGAUGUUAUAUCUCCGGAUCUCCGAAACUAUUCACCGCUGCAUUGGAAGACGCUUUCAAACUCCUUGAAUAGAAAGGAUUCGGCACAAACAUCAACGACGAGUACAUCAUUCAGCUUCGGUUUGCCGACGAUAUUGUGUGGUCAUGGCAAAAUCACUGGAAGACCUCGGCACAAUGCUCGAAGACCUUAGUCUCCCAAAAGGUAGGCCUUCGGGUGAACAACAUGGAAAAACGAAGCUUUUGUUGGUUAGGAGCUCGAAUCUUGAGAUUGUUGACAAGUAUGUCUACCUCGGACAAACGUUUCAGCUAAGUAGAGAAAGAGGUCGAAUCCAACUCGGCUGGGUAGCAUUCGGGAAACUACACAACAUCCUUUCGUCCAAAAUAUCUCAGUGCCUAAAGACAAAAAUCUACAAUCUGUAUGUGUUGCCACUGAUGACGGCUCGGGAACGCGGCCUCUUACUCAAGUUGCACAGCGUGCUUUGAAGAGGGCUAUGCUCAGUUUUUCUGUACAAGAGACAGGGCACAU